GCGCGGUUGGUGUAGUGGUCAGCAUGUUCGCUCAGUAAUGGCACUUCGUUCACCACGGUGUUCGUGUCAGUCCCCUUCGGGGCGUUGCCAGGCUGACUGCGAGAGACCCGGGUUCGAAUCCCGGACUGCGCA